GUUAAUCGGAAUUACUGGGCGUAAAGCGUGCGCAGGCGGUCUGUUAAGACAGAUGUGAAAUCCCCGGGCUUAACCUGGGAACUGCAUUUGUGACUGGCAGGCUAGAGUAUGGCAGAGGGGGGUAGAAUUCCACGUGUAGCAGUGAAAUGCGUAGAGAUGUGGAGGAAUACCGAUGGCGAAGGCAGCCCCCUGGGCCAAUACUGACGCUCAUGCACGAAAGCGUGGGGAGCAAACAGG
rnacentral:rRNA from 1 species